AUACGGAGGGUCCAAGCGUUAUCCGGAUUCAUUGGGUUUAAAGGGUGCGCAGGCGGACUUGUAAGUCAGUGGUGAAAUCCCGGGGCUCAACCUCGGAACUGCCAUUGAUACUGCAAGUCUUGAGUUUGGUUGAAGUGGGCGGAAUGUAGCAUGUAGCGGUGAAAUGCAUAGAUAUGCUACAGAACACCGAUCGCGAAGGCAGCUCACUAAACCAACACUGACGCUCAGGCACGAAAGCGUGGGGAGCGAACAUGAUUAGAAACCCCAGUAGUCC
rnacentral:rRNA from 1 species